CCUACGGGAGGCAGCAGUGGGGAAUAUUGCACAAUGGGCGCAAGCCUGAUGCAGCCAUGCCGCGUGUGUGAAGAAGGCCUUCGGGUUGUAAAGCACUUUCAGCGGGGAGGAAGGCGUUAAGGUUAAUAACCUUGUCGAUUGACGUUACCCGCAGAAGAAGCACCGGCUAACUCCGUGUCAGCAGCCGCGGUAAUACGGAGGGUGCAAGCGUUAAUCGGAAUUACUGGGCGUAAAGCGCACGCAGGCGGUCUGUCAAGUCGGAUGUGAAAUCCCCGGGCUCAACCUGGGAACUGCAUUCGAAACUGGCAGGCUAGAGUCUUGUAGAGGGGGGUAGAAUUCCAGGUGUAGCGGUGAAAUGCGUAGAGAUCUGGAGGAAUACCGGUGGCGAAGGCCGCCCCCUGGACAAAGACUGACGCUCAGGUGCGAAAGCGUGGGGAGCAAACAGGAUUAGAUACCCUAGUAGUC
rnacentral:rRNA from 1 species